rnacentral:tRNA from 13 species
GACGCGGUGGCGCAACGGUAGCGCGUCUGACUCCAGAUCAGAAGGCUGCGUGUUCAAAUCACGUCCGGGUCA